UUGGUGGAAGACCUUCUUUUAUUGUAAUGGACAUUAUCACUUAUUUGAGUGUAAUAUAAAAAUAAAAGAAAAUAAAAAACCAGCAACGUUGUACCCACGACAAGAUUUCGUGACAGAUACAUUCAGUUUAUUAUGAAUGGAGCCGAUAACUAGGAAACAAAGAAAUGGUUAAUUGAUUGAUUAUCUUUAAAGCAAUAGGUUAUAUUUUGAAUGGUGCUUGAAUGGCAGCCCUUUUCAAAUUAUACCUAUUUAUCUGGACCAUGCUGUCAUAUAACUGGGUGGAUAGAAAUCUUUACUCUGUGGCCUACAGCAAGAAUGCUGAAAGCAUCGAUUCUGAUGAAUUGGAGGACUAUGUUUAUAGUCGAUGGUAUAGGAAAGUUCCAAAGCCAAUUCUGAAAAAGGCCUCCGGCAUUUUUAUUAAAAGAGAUCAGACAGCAUGGAAGAACAUGCCCAACAGAAAACAUACGCCUUGGGUAUUGCUAAAAAGCGACAUGGUUAGACACAAUGGUGAUGACGAUGAUGAUAGUUAUAUGCGAGAUGGUUCAAGCGACAA